AGCGUACACGGUGGAUGCCCUGGCAGUCAGAGGCGAUGAAGGACGUGCUAAUCUGCGAUAAGCGUCGGUAAGGUGAUAUGAACCGUUAUAACCGGCGAUUUCCGAAUGGGGAAACCCAGUGUGUUUCGACACACUAUCAUUAACUGAAUCCAUAGGUUAAUGAGGCGAACCGGGGGAACUGAAACAUCUAAGUACCCCGAGGAAAAGAAAUCAACCGAGAUUCCCCCAGUAGCGGCGAGCGAACGGGGAGCAGCCCAGAGCCUGAAUCAGUGUGUGUGUUAGUGGAAGCGUCUGGAAAGGCGUGCGAUACAGGGUGACAGCCCCGUACACAAAAAUGCACAUGCUGUGAGCUCGAUGAGUAGGGCGGGACACGUGGUAUCCUGUCUGAAUAUGGGGGGACCAUCCUCCAAGGCUAAAUACUCCUGACUGACCGAUAGUGAACCAGUACCGUGAGGGAAAGGCGAAAAGAACCCCGGCGAGGGGAGUGAAAAAGAACCUGAAACCGUGUACGUACAAGCAGUGGGAGCACGCUUAGGCGUGUGACUGCGUACCUUUUGUAUAAUGGGUCAGCGACUUAUAUUCUGUAGCAAGGUUAACCGAAUAGGGGAGCCGAAGGGAAACCGAGUCUUAACUGGGCGUUAAGUUGCAGGGUAUAGACCCGAAACCCGGUGAUCUAGCCAUGGGCAGGUUGAAGGUUGGGUAACACUAACUGGAGGACCGAACCGACUAAUGUUGAAAAAUUAGCGGAUGACUUGUGGCUGGGGGUGAAAGGCCAAUCAAACCGGGAGAUAGCUGGUUCUCCCCGAAAGCUAUUUAGGUAGCGCCUCGUGAAUUCAUCUCCGGGGGUAGAGCACUGUUUCGGCAAGGGGGUCAUCCCGACUUACCAACCCGAUGCAAACUGCGAAUACCGGAGAAUGUUAUCACGGGAGACACACGGCGGGUGCUAACGUCCGUCGUGAAGAGGGAAACAACCCAGACCGCCAGCUAAGGUCCCAAAGUCAUGGUUAAGUGGGAAACGAUGUGGGAAGGCCCAGACAGCCAGGAUGUUGGCUUAGAAGCAGCCAUCAUUUAAAGAAAGCGUAAUAGCUCACUGGUCGAGUCGGCCUGCGCGGAAGAUGUAACGGGGCUAAACCAUGCACCGAAGCUGCGGCAGCGACGCUGAUGCGUUGUUGGGUAGGGGAGCGUUCUGUAAGCCUGCGAAGGUGUGCUGUGAGGCAUGCUGGAGGUAUCAGAAGUGCGAAUGCUGACAUAAGUAACGAUAAAGCGGGUGAAAAGCCCGCUCGCCGGAAGACCAAGGGUUCCUGUCCAACGUUAAUCGGGGCAGGGUGAGUCGACCCCUAAGGCGAGGCCGAAAGGCGUAGUCGAUGGGAAACAGGUUAAUAUUCCUGUGCUUGGUGUUACUGCGAAGGGGGGACGGAGAAGGCUAUGUUGGCCGGGCGACGGUUGUCCCGGUUUAAGCGUGUAGGCUGGUUUUCCAGGCAAAUCCGGAAAAUCAAGGCUGAGGCGUGAUGACGAGGCACUACGGUGCUGAAGCAACAAAUGCCCUGCUUCCAGGAAAAGCCUCUAAGCAUCAGGUAACAUCAAAUCGUACCCCAAACCGACACAGGUGGUCAGGUAGAGAAUACCAAGGCGCUUGAGAGAACUCGGGUGAAGGAACUAGGCAAAAUGGUGCCGUAACUUCGGGAGAAGGCACGCUGAUAUGUAGGUGAAGUCCCUCGCGGAUGGAGCUGAAAUCAGUCGAAGAUACCAGCUGGCUGCAACUGUUUAUUAAAAACACAGCACUGUGCAAACACGAAAGUGGACGUAUACGGUGUGACGCCUGCCCGGUGCCGGAAGGUUAAUUGAUGGGGUCAGCGCAAGCGAAGCUCUUGAUCGAAGCCCCGGUAAACGGCGGCCGUAACUAUAACGGUCCUAAGGUAGCGAAAUUCCUUGUCGGGUAAGUUCCGACCUGCACGAAUGGCGUAAUGAUGGCCAGGCUGUCUCCACCCGAGACUCAGUGAAAUUGAACUCGCUGUGAAGAUGCAGUGUACCCGCGGCAAGACGGAAAGACCCCGUGAACCUUUACUAUAGCUUGACACUGAACAU
rnacentral:rRNA from 1 species